rnacentral:rRNA from 1 species
AUGAUAUGCUUUAACUGUGGUGGACCGGGACACUAUGUUGGUAAUUGUGUGAAGCCAAAGGCUUGUUUUAUCUGUCAGCAGAAUCAUAAUGUCAACAAUUGUGCAACGUGGUCUAAGGUUCGGCCUACUGCUGCCUUUUUUGGUAGUGGAGCUCAAGGUCUUGGUUUCUACCAUGUUGAUGUCCAUGUUGCAAAUGAGUCCAAGUGGUUGAACUUCCAGAACUGUGCAGUGGUUAACAUCUUGAAAGGGGAAGUGAAUGGUGCUAAGCUGAGGGAAUUGCUAUCUGCUACUUUCUGUAAAACUAAACAUUAGCCUUGGCAAAUCAGAGGGUUAUCUAGUAAGACUUUCUUGGUCAGGUUUCCUCCCUGGAAGAGGGUGGAAGAUCUUAUUGAGCUGCGUGGGUUCUCCCUGCCACAGGAUGUUAAUGUGACUCUAACUGAAUGGAAAGGUGGAUGUGAGACUUUUGGUGAAUUGAUUGAAGCUUGGGUUUUGAUUGAAGGGAUUCCUCCAAAGUGGUGUACUUGGAAAGUGUUUGCUCAAAUUGCUUCAUUGUUUGGAGCCCUUACAGAUGUGGACUGGAAUGGAAUGUUCAGAACUUUUUUUGAGAAUGUCAGAGUCAAGAUUGCCUGCAGAGACCCAACCAAAAUUCCUUUUGAGAGACUGAUUGAGAUGAAGAAGAAGUUGUUUCUACUGGGCUUUACUGUGGAAGGUUUUGAGCAAACAGGUGGGGUUGACUCUGUCAUUGAUGUAGAUGGAGAUGAAGAUGAUUUUGAGGAAGAUGAGAAG